rnacentral:rRNA from 1 species
GACGAACGCUGGCGGCGUGCCUAAUACAUGCAAGUAGAACGCUGAAGAGAGGAGCUUGCUCUUCUUGGACGAGUUGCGAACGGGUGAGUAACGCGUAGGUAACCUGCCUUGUAGCGGGGGAUAACUAUUGGAAACGAUAGCUAAUACCGCAUAACAAUAGGUGACACAUGUCAUUUAUUUGAAAGGGGCGAUUGCUCCACUACAAGAUGGACCUGCGUUGUAUUAGCUAGUAGGUGAGGUAACGGCUCACCUAGGCGACGAUACAUAGCCGACCUGAGAGGGUGAUCGGCCACACUGGGACUGAGACACGGCCCAGACUCCUGCGGGAGGCAGCAGUAGGGGAUCUUCGGCAAUGGGGGCAACCCUGACCGAGCAACGCCGCGUGAGUGAAGAAGGUUUUCGGAUCGUAAAGCUCUGUUGUAAGUCAAGAACGAGUGUGAGAGUGGAAAGUUCACACUGUGACGGUAGCUUACCAGAAAGGGACGGCUAACUACGUGCCAGCAGCCGCGGUAAUACGUAGGUCCCGAGCGUUGUCCGGAUUUAUUGGGCGUAAAGCGAGCGCAGGCGGUUUGAUAAGUCUGAAGUUAAAGGCUGUGGCUCAACCAUAGUUCGCUUUGGAAACUGUCAAACUUGAGUGCAGAAGGGGAGAGUGGAAUUCCAUGUGUAGCGGUGAAAUGCGUAGAUAUAUGGAGGAACACCGGUGGCGAAAGCGGCUCUCUGGUCUGUAACUGACGCUGAGGCUCGAAAGCGUGGGGAGCGAACAGG